GUGGGACCUUUGCCUUUUGGUGUUUUCCUCCUUAAAGGAUUUUGCUUUCAAGGGUGAGAGUGGGAAGAGAGGCCGGAAUGGAUUUGCUGGGCCUGCAGGACCAUCAGGAUCCCCAGGAAAAGAGGGGAUUCCUGGGACACCUGGGCCCAAAGGCAACAAGGGAGAAAUUGGGGUUGGAGCUGCUGGUCCAAGAGGUCCCCGCGGAUUGCCUGGUUCUCAAGGUGACGAGGGGAUCAUGGGAGUCCAGGGCCCCAUUGGUAUGAUGGUGAGUGUUAUUGUAGCACUGAUUUUAUGGUAUGGACAACUUCAGGGCUGCUUGAUUUUUAUGAUAUGGACAGCUUCAGGGCUGGAAAAAAAAGUCCCUAUGAGCAAUUAAAGAAAUGUAAAUGGUUUGAUGCCUCCAGUGGGAAAUAGAAACAUGGUGAACCCACAUUGUUAUGUUGUGUUAGAAUGCUUGAGUGUAAAUCCUGUAGCCGGAUGUGAGACAUAAGCUGUCAUGCCAAGUGUAAUUGCUUUAUGCUCUUGGCCAUCUGGCUGUGUUCCAUCCCAGUCUAUCCUGUCCCUGCCCACUCCCGUGACAAGGGACAUCUGGAGAUUCCUGUCACCUCCACCUAGAGGGGCCUUUGG
rnacentral:lncRNA from 1 species